rnacentral:rRNA from 1 species
GACGAACGCUGGCGGCGUGCCUAAUACAUGCAAGUAGAACGCCGAAGGAGGAGCUUGCUUCUCUGGAUGAGUUGCGAACGGGUGAGUAACGCGUAGGUAACCUGCCUGGUAGCGGGGGAUAACUAUUGGAAACGAUAGCUAAUACCGCAUAAUAGUAGAUGUUGCAUGACAUUUGCUUAAAAGGUGCAAUUGCAUCACUACCAGAUGGACCUGCGUUGUAUUAGCUAGUUGGUGGGGUAACGGCUCACCAAGGCGACGAUACAUAGCCGACCUGAGAGGGUGAUCGGCCACACUGGGACUGAGACACGGCCCAGACUCCUACGGGAGGCAGCAGUAGGGAAUCUUCGGCAAUGGACGGAAGUCUGACCGAGCAACGCCGCGUGAGUGAAGAAGGUUUUCGGAUCGUAAAGCUCUGUUGUAAGAGAAGAACGAGUGUGAGAGUGGAAAGUUCACACUGUGACGGUAUCUUACCAGAAAGGGACGGCUAACUACGUG